AUGAGCAGUUUGACAGCUGAAAGACUGGACUUAGGCAGCAACUUGGUGCAGGUGGCAGACUAUGAUGGAGCAAGGAUCACCGCUUUCCAGUUUUACCAAAAGACAAGAAGUUUGGAGACAGAGGAAGAAUAAAACAACCAGUGGAAGCCAGAUGGAAAGAAGACUCCUCAGGAUGGGCUCGGUGACUUUGGGGGUGCUUUGUAUCCUACAAGCCGUUCUCAAUGUCUCACUGCGACUCGCCUUUGUCUCAGAAGAGGAUGUGGAUCAGUUUCCAUUAAACAGCUCUGUAAUAACAGAUCUGUGCACAAAAGACCCAAGUCAGCAGAAUUCAAGUCAGCAAUGUUCCUGCUGCAACAACCUGCUGAAAAUGCUCCUCAGGAAAUAUCGCGCUCUGGAAACAGAGAGAGACCUCUUGCGGGAGCAAGUCAAGGACAAUUUUGAAGAAUCUGGAUCCACAGAGGGAUCAUCAUAUUGGUAAAACGGUCCAGAAACAAGCCGGCAUGAGGUCAACCCCGAGGAGCAUGGGACAUUAAUCAUGAUGCAUCAGCAAAAUGCUCAAUGUUGUCUUUGAUUUUGUUUUCAUUGUUCCAAACAGCAGUUGCAGUGAGGACUAAGUACCUUCAGAAGUGAUGAAGCGGAAGUGAACAGGGCAAAUAAUCAAAUGCAACUAUUUCAUAAACUUCAAACUUUUUUCCCUUUCAGUAUUCAUUGUUUAAAUGAUUUGUUAAAUAUGAAGAGAUCAGUUCGUCAGCAACAUUAACCAAUAGUGCAAUUUAGUACAAUCAAUUCAUCUUUAUUUUAUUUUUCAUAUAGUCGUAUCUAGAAAAGAUGGACAUUUUUAUUUACAGAGUAAGCUGUGACAAGCAGAAAAAAAAAUAAUUUCUUGUUUUUUUUAGGUCACAUUUUUGACUUGCUUUAACUCCUGUUAGUGUGUUAAUGACUUAUGUUGAAAUGUGAAAAAAGAGCUCUGAAAGUGUUAGUAAUUUGUUUGGUCUGGCCGUCAUGGCUCUGCUCUCUGCUGACGUCUCACAGUCACACAGGACAGCGAAGAUACUGCUGCCUGUCGGUGUCCCGAGUCUCCUGAUCUAUUUACUAUUUACAGACUAGUUUCGCAACUCAAUUAAGAAUAGGCUAGACUAAAAAAAAAAAAAAAAAAAAAAUCCCCCAUAUUGGCCUAUAAUUUAUGGUAACUUUAGAUAGUUGCCACCAGUACACACAAAGAGGUGGUAGCACAAUAAUGCAUCAGGCAUCUAAGAUGCCAGAUAUUUCCUCCAGGAUCAGGUGGAGACUAGUCACAGCUACAGAGCAGGUUUUUCAUCCUAAUUUGACUUUUACUGCAGCCACAUAUUGGACCUAUUAAACAGAAAAGAGCUUGUUUAGAUGUGAGUAUUUUUGCACAGCUGUAACAUAGUUAUUGACUGUAUUUAUUCAUUUAACACAAUAUUGUUUCAUAUACUUUAGUUAGAUUACUUGUUACUAAAAAUAGUAACACCUUCCAUUUUAAUGCAGUUCCUCCGAUCACUGUAUUUAAUAAAGACUACGGCUUAGUUAUUCGCUGACCUGUGACCAGUGUCAGAGACACAACAAGCUGUACUGGUAGUUUUUUUUUUUCUUUUCUUUUUUUUUUUUUUUAGGAACACUGCUACUAUCAGAAGGUAUGGAGUUUAAAAAAAAAAAAAAAGAACCUCUGCGGUGGGCCUCGGCUGAUCUCCCACAGUGAGGUGGGGGCAAACUGAAUGAGAAGUGAUAACCCAUGAUAGUUUCUUUAGAACAUACACCUCCCAAAAGAGCCCCCACAUACACGACGGGCAGAGAGGUUGUUAUGGAGCUAACUUUAAUUGCUUGAUUUGAAUUAUAAAAUGAGGUUUUGCUACUCUCUCUGUAUAUCAAAGGCAACCUGCAUCGCUUGGGAAAUGGCACUCGGUGAGCAGAGUGCAGAAGAGCUUUAAUGCCAAAAAAAAAAAAAAAAAAAAGGAUUCC